AGCUUCACUAAAGAUAAAUAUAUGAAGAAAUUUUAGAAAUUUUAAGAAGGCUUGGAAAAGUUGAUAGUCAUGUAAUAUUAUAAGAGGUAAUAAUGCAGACUAAGUAUAAAAUGAUGGCCAAGAAGGUGAAGCCCAUGGCAACUCAAUUACCACAUGAUACCAAAUAGUACAUUAAAGAAGCUACUAUAGAACAUAGAAUCAAGGAGUUAAAAAAAAUUAGUCACAUGUUUAGUAAAGAAUUUUUGAAUAAA
rnacentral:lncRNA from 1 species